UAAUGGCAAAAACUGACUUUAUAUAGGCAUAUAAAAUUUUCUACUCUACAAAGUUCCUCUGCAAAGUCAAAACAAUAUGGACAUGCUUGAAACACAAAUAGAAAACUUGUAUAUCAUAUACGUCCAUAAAUCAGUAGCUAAGUUGAGUUACAUACUAACAUGAACAUCCCUUACAAGCUGUUGAAUUUUAGCAUGCCGUAGAAAGCAUUUCCUUGGGCGUCUCCAGCUUUUCUGGCAACCCCUUAAUUCAGAACCAUUACUCGAUCAAUGGGAUUCUCCAAUCAAUAAGAUAAUUCAGUUUUAAAAAAUAAAAAUUGUGCAUCUAAAGGCAGUCUUCAAUCACAAGCAUUCCAUUUUGCUCUCUAUAUGUCACAAAUGCCUUGUCAAUUGGUGUCGCAUAUUCUAUACCUGAGCAGCAAGCAGUUCAUUCCAUGUGUCUGGAAUGCCAGGUAGACACCAAUGUAAGCAAUCAUUUCCACCCUGUGUUGCCUUAACAGUAUAUCGCGAAAUGUGACCCUCCUCUCUGAGCUCAGACACAGCAGUGAUAUCUAAAAGCUUUACCCUUGUCCCCUUAACAGCAGCCGCGACAACUCGAUCACUUGAUUCAUCCUGUGAGACUUCGCUCCCUUGAGUUAAUGGAGUAGUAACAUCACAGGAACCCCCACUGUUCCAGUCCCCAUUACGGAAAUGCCUUGGUGAGAUAGUCCUAAAGAAAGCUACAAGUCGGGGAUGAGAAGGAAGUUGUGAAUCAAGCCACCUGACAAUACUAUGUACUGUAAAAUUCUUUGCGUUCCCAAUUUCUGCAAGUCUUCUAUCUUCGACAGGCUUUCCAUUCACAUACAUCACCCAACGGUUUGCUCUGAGCUUCCCUCUGUUCCAGUGAUGUCCUGUAUUGAGAACUAACACAUCAAACCUAUGGAGGAAUCGUCUCAUGAAAGCUGGUGCACGGUCUAAAUGCAUGGCCACAUCAGCGGAUGGGUCUGUGAUGUUCAAAGGCUCAAGAUCAGCAAGGCUUGCUGACCAGUAAUAUAAAAUAGUAGUAUUGGUGUUUGAGAAUCGGUAAGCCCAUCCAUCAGGACGAAUGGCUCCACGAGGCUUGACAAGACCAUAUUCUGCUCCCACAUCUUCAACAUCUAACCUCCAUUCCCCACCAGUGGUCAUGCACAUCAUUGAUUGAAAUUGUUGCCGGCCCAAUGAGUCUCCGAUAAAUGCAAUUGUUUUGUCCUGCAUCCUUUUCAAGAAUUGAGAUGACUCAAACUCUGUCAUUUUGCAAUUUUCAGGCUGCCACCGAAAUCCUUCAUAGGAAAAAUCAGUUCGUUGGGUGAGUCUACAUGCCCACAUUUCUGAUAACCAUUGUUUACAUCCAAACCCAGAAUACAAGGGCCGCCUGCUGUCUGUCACCCAUAUACCCUUGGCAUAAUUGCAGGCUUUCAUCUUGGAAGAGGACAUACUAUCCUCAUCACUAUCUUCCUUUUCAGACGUAAAUGUGGUAGUAAAAUUUAAUGCUGAGGCACCAGAGUCUUUGUUUUGCCUUUCAAUGUCCUCUGAACUCAUAGAAUGAGAAUGUUUUCCUUCAUCAUGUUCUUUUGGUUUCAAAGAAAAUGAAGAGAAGGAAGAACCUGUUGGGGAAUCAACAAGAAAAUCUGUGCCAUAUAAGAAGAGAAGGGAAGGCCAUUAGAGUUAGCCAGCUAAUAAACCUUUGAUAGUGUAUUUAAAAAGAAGCAGAAGUAGCAUUCUCGUAGGACUUCAUCUUUAAACUGGUAGAUAUCUCGUGAUCAAACAACUUUCUAGAGGCACUUCAGCAUUUCAUCAAUUUUAUGGCCAUCAUUCUCAUCCAUUUGAGCUCACUUAUAAUUAACAAAACAGACACAUGAAAGGUUGCAUGAUUACAUUUAAAAACUUGUUUCUAUGUUUAGAACUUUGAACUAAGACUACCUAGAUCCUAAAGUUAUAAAAUAAUGGAUUGCCAACAAAUUUAUUAGAACAAACAUUCUUUAUAAGGACUAGAAAACCAUCAAUAAAUUCCAAAUUAGCCCUAUAAGAAAUUUGGAUUGUAAUUCUACAUCUCAAGUCAUUAAACUUGAUUUUCUAGAUUUCCUUGUUGUCUAUAUCUAAACAAUAAUGCAAAAUGGAAUGUUUAGGAGAGUAUUGAAUAUUUAGGAGAGUAUUGAAUGCAAAAGGGAAUGUUCUCCAUAGCUAUAGUUCCAUUUUGUUUGCAUAAAAUGAAUACUACAUAAAUAUAUCUACAUUCUAGGUCUAAUAUUCUCCUCUAAACCAGCAUAAUUAACAAAUGAUGACUGAUGAUAAAAGUCAAUUUAGAAUUAGCUAUCAAAUAUCAAUAUAGUACUUAAAUAUGAAAGAGUAUAUAAAAUAUGAGAAUUUACAUCGGCAGGAAAUUGUAAUAAAUUUAGUGCUUGAAUAGUUUUGCUUAGAGAUUUCAACACUUUGCCAUAAGUAAGAAACUACAGCUACGGAGCUUACAAGCUUGCAUUCACCAAGGAACUUAUCUCAAGAAGCUGAAGAUAACAAAUCAAAAUACCUUUGUUAUUAAAAUUCUAUCCCUGAUUAACCCUGUUUCAUGUUCACUUUCCCAAAUGGUAGAUAUAUAGAAUUAAAUGGUUCCUUGUGUUAUCUAGACAAUUCACCAAAUACAACCAGUAGGGAGUAGAAAAAGACCUAAAAUGCCAGAUAAAAGUUUAGAUGCCUGCUACCAGACGUAUAAUUUAAAACUUUAAACAAAAAGAAUGAAGGAAUAUAUCUAUGCUCAUAUAAAAGCUCUCUAACAUACUUCAGUGCAUUUAUUCUGUUUCCAAAAGUUAAGAAGGUAAAAUUUAAAUUAAUUAAUCAACUAUGUCAUAAAUGCAAAUGCCACCAAGAAAAGUAUUAUGUAGAGUAGUUAAUAAUCACAAAAGUUUUUAAGGCCAAAGCAAUUGAUGAAUAAGAAUUGACCAAAUCAACAUGUUAACUGUCUUUGUGUUGUCUGCAGGCUUCAGUUACACAACUAUUUAGCAAGGUGAAACUUAAUGUUUCUCUUUGUACUUCAUAUACUGCAGGAAUUUAUGGUAUAUUUCUCAUGCACCUACUUUUUUUUAAUAAAUAAUUUCACAACAAUAUAUCCCACAUUGGAAUGCUACAAAAAUCUUAAAGAGAAUAUGAGUAAGGAGGAACCAAGCCCAAUUGACUUAAACCAUUGCGGUGGAGGCAACCCAAGUUCAACAAUCAAAACAUGCCAACAGUCUUCAGCACUCCCCAGAUCAAAGAAGAAUUUCACAUGGUAUAAAUGCAGGCCACAAUCCUGGACCCAAAAAAGCAUGGUUGGCAGUGCCGAACCAGACCUAGGCGGAUCCAUGGCUAGUAAAAAAGUCUGAAGAAUGAAAGCUAAACUGCUCUUGUGCUGACUGUAGCGUAGUAACAAAAGGAUUCUUCUCCCAGGCCCAAAGAAAUAUGGUUGUAAAAGUAAGAGUGAGCAGAGCAAUAGAAAGAUGCCUCCCCCUCAAUCUAAAAUUAUUUGCUCCUUUCAUUUCUGUUUAUACACGAUAAGACAGAUGAUUCCUCAACCUCUACAGCACAUUUUAUACUUUUCUAGUGUUGGAUUGGAAUUGAUGAAAGUGAAUAUCUUCAGCAAACAUCCAUCAUGUGUCUUAUGCAAUACUUUCACUGCUAGCAAGCUUCAGCUAGCUGAUAUCAAAUGGAAAAUGGAGAUGCCUCUGGCAUUUCCUUGUUGGUAUACAAUCGAUGGAUCUGCUGAACCCAACCUCCGAUCCACACAAUAGACACAGUGAAAGGAGGAGGGGGAAAGAAUUGUCUAUAUCCAUACAUUCCUAUAACGCCAACGUCUAUCCAAUUAUAUUAGGACACGUGCACACCAGAAGGAGUUUUCUGUCAUUCUGAGAAAUGACGGCGGUAGUUUUGGCAGCGCGGGAUUUUCUCUAGUGAAGUAAAAUGACUAUAAAGUCCUCUUGCGGUGUCUUGAAAAUUUAGUGUCACUGGAGGGUGAAGCAAGUAAUGAAUCUGGACACCUUUUAAAUUUAGACCCUGCCAAAGUCAAGGGUGCAGACACAUCAUAUGCAUCACCGGCACGUGACGCUUAUAAUGCUCUAAAAUAUAGUAUCUGAGAAGGAAAACGGUCAAUUCAUGUAAAUAAAAAGAAAAGUUUUCCAAAAUUAAAAAAAGAGGAUUUG
rnacentral:misc_RNA from 1 species